rnacentral:rRNA from 1 species
ACGAACGCUGGCGGCGUGCUUAACACAUGCAAGUCGAACGAUGAACCACUUCGGUGGGGAUUAGUGGCGAACGGGUGAGUAACACGUGGGCAAUCUGCCCUGCACUCUGGGACAAGCCCUGGAAACGGGGUCUAAUACCGGAUAAUACUCCCGCACUCAUGUGUGGGGGUUAAAAGCUCCGGCGGUGCAGGAUGAGCCCGCGGCCUAUCAGCUUGUUGGUGAGGUAAUGGCUCACCAAGGCGACGACGGGUAGCCG